GUGAGUCAUCGAAUCUUUGAACGCACCUUGCGCCCUUUGGUAUUCCGAAGGGCAUGCCUGUUUGAGUGUCAUGAAAUCUCAAUCCCACCGGGUUUUACGACCCGGUGUGGGCUUGGAAUUGGGCGUCUGCCGGUCACACGGCUCGCCUCAAAUGACUUAGUGGGACCGCUCGCAUCCACGACAGACGUAAUAAGUUUCGUCUCGUCCCUUGCUUGUGCACGCCCGCUCAGAACCUGACGGUCGUCGACCCCCGUGUCGGCGUCCCGACCUUUAGACUCUGACCUCAAAUCAGGUAGGACUACCCGCUGAACUUAAGCAUAUCAAUAAGCGGAGGA
rnacentral:misc_RNA from 1 species